CCCUUAGAUGUUCUGGGCCGCACGCGUGCUACACUGAACGGUUCAAUGGGUAAGGUAGUGCGAAAGCAUGACCUAAUCUCGAAAUCCGUUCGUGCUGGGGAUAGAAGCUUGCAAUUAUCCUUCUUGAACGAGGAAUACCUUGUAAGCGUGAGUCAUCAUCUCACGCUGAAUACGUCCCUGCCCUUUGUACACACUGCCCGUCGCUCCUACCGAUUGAGUGUUCCGGUGAGGCUUUGGGAGAAUGGCCUCAACAUGAGUUUAUCGUGUUUUGCCGUUUGAACUUAGUCAAACCUUAUCACUUAGAGGAAGGAGAAGUCGUAACA
rnacentral:rRNA from 1 species